CUACAAGUAAAGAUAUGUUGUGUCCAGGCAUCCCUGAGCUGUGGAAUUUUGGAGUGACGCAACGUCUCGCCAGUUUUCCUGAACUGACUGGUACUUGUUAUUGUCGUUCAGUCGCACAAGAUUUAGUAGCUUGUAUUAUGGAGUCGCAGGUUUGCUUUUUUAAUGUUGUGAAAAAAGCAAUAGUUGCACGUACAUCAUUUCCUGAACACAUUUUAAUCUUUGAGGAAACGAAGGUGAUUGCAUGCAGCAGUCUAUAUCAUGUGCUGAUGCAAAAUAGAGAAUCUACAUAUUUAUUACAAUAUGCGAACAGUGUAGAUUUAAAUUCAUGUGUAUUUAACAAUAUCCCGCAGAAAUUGGGAAAGUACAUAUAUGCUGCUUUCUCUCCUAAUGGACAGUCGCUGGCAAUUCGCAACGACCAAAUAUUCUAUAUCUUAGACAUUGCUACACUAAACAUUCGUGGCAAAGUUUCUCCCUCUUACGUACCACAAUCCAAACUUGCAUUUGUUGACGAGGAACACAUUCUUUGUGCAGGAUAUGAAGAUUGCUUGUAUUUAAUGAAUGUCAAAACUUGUGACAUAUUAACUUGCAUCAGUUUGGGCAUGCAUCCGUUUGGGUUUGCAUCAGUUUGGCCAUGGGGUGUUUUUGCAUGCCGCAAUACAGUUGGUAUUAUUGUUUACAGCCCCAGGUACAAUAAAUUAAAACUAAUUAAACUUUGGUUGCCACAGGAACGUAAAGAUGGGAAUGAAUUAGUGGAAUGUUCUUGCUGGAUACACGGUGGGAAUAUAAAUGACCCGCUCACCCCGACUGAAAUUCCCACAACGUGUUGCAAGUGUUCUAUCAUAUAAUUCCACAUACGGAAAAUGAAAAUAAUUGACAGGAACUACAAAUAAUACAAAGAUGGUAAAUGUUUUAACUUUGCUUUGUUGUUCUUUUUAGUUUUACUAUAGUCAUUUUGAAACCAAUGGCAGUUCCAGCAAUCUGAUUGGUCAGACCAAAUGUCACUCCACUCCGUUCUAUUACCAUUACAGGCAUUACUAAUAACCUUGAAAACGCUUGUUAAGUUUUCAUUCAGCUAGGGGGCCGAAGUGAUGGGUACUUUAUGGAAAUAACUUCUCUUUGUUGUUUUACUUGCAAUGGUAUGUAAGUUCUAGCAUAAUUUGAAUAAUGUUAUGAUAAAGUUUUAAAUCCGAGAAACAACCCAAAAUCAAUUCGGAAAAUAAAAUUUUGAAGCGAGCAAAUUUCGAAUCUGGGUUUGGAAACAAUUUUAUAUGUCGCAUAUUUUUUUCUCAGAACGACACAUUGAAUAUAAAAUUAUAUUAAUUAAAAUUCCCCAAUGUUUCCUAUACGUUGAUACUUCCUUGGUUUAACGAUCGUUUUAAACCGUUUUAAAAUAUGAAUUGUUUUUCAUGCGUAAAUUGCAGAAUGUAGACUGUUGCACGUAUUUUCCCUUCAAAACAUUUAAGAACAAAAUAAAUAUUUGAUGAGUGUUCAAAGUAAAAUAGAAUACAUAAUAGUGUUGGGAAAACAUAAAAAACAGAUAACGUUGGUUGCGUGACUGACAGAUCUGAUGCACCGGCACUGAUCCUCUUUUGAUUUGGGUUUUAACAAUUCCAUUUUCACAUAACGCAAUUUUUUUUAAAAUUUUUUUCUCAGCUGGACUACAAUGCACCAUCAUCUGAGAGGACAGUGCUACAUUAAUGCUGGCCAUUAAUGCAAUUAUUAUAGCGUUAUGUUUUCUAUGCCAAGGACGAGAAUUAUAUCUGUAACUGCUUUGAGUCAUUGCCAGCAUACAUUAUUAAUAAUAGCAGCAGUGCGGAAUGAUUCUAAUAUAACUAUUUUAACCCUGCAUGCAUGGGGACCAAACAAAAUCUCUAGUGGACAUUGCCCACGGAAUUAUAUUGGCGAAACAGGGAGAUCAUUUGAAACUGACAAGAAAGAAAAACGCAUCCGAAUGUCAUUCGACCGAACGUAGGCAAACAUGCAUGCUUGGACAUGCUCAUGUAGAAUGAAAGGAUCAAAUUUGACGACGGGCAAAUAAUUGACAAAGGAAAGAAGAGAAUUAAAAACUUCGGAAUCAUUGCAAACUGCUAUUGUUAAUAAUGCAGACAAUAUUUCAAUGCCGUUCCAUACUCUGUUAUCCUUAGAAAAUAUUAACGCUAACAACUGCAUGCUUGCAUUAAUUAAUCGCCUACACUGUCUCUAUUGCAAGAUUGUUUGGUUUCAACUGUAUUCCUUCCCUUGUUGAAGGAUUUGAAUAUCAACUAACCGAAAACCCGUAAUGAAAGUCUCUGAUUAGAGAAAAUUGUGAACAACUUUUAUAAAUUAUCCAACAGAAAAUGUCUGUGGUGUCACGCCAAUGUCUCAACCGAGUUUUGGUCCAAGGUACCAGCUAUCUGAAUAUCUGAUUGAUCGAGUGAGACAUGCGUAAAUUCUUAAAUUUACAUUCAAUGCGGCAUAUGGUAUCGAUAUAAACGACGGGAUUUCAGAUAUUUUAGCACGACUUUGUGAAAUGCCUUUGGCGGUGGAUAAAAAUCUUGUUUAAAUUUGUUGUCUUCAGCACCUUGAAAAAUUGUUAUCAUUGCUACUUGGUGCUACUGUAAUUGAAUUGGGGCUCUUACUUCAUAUAUUGUACAGGACAGCUUCGUUCUUCUAUGAAUUACCAAAGUUUGAUCAAGAUUAAAAUGUGUGGGUUUUUAGGAGGACGAAACAACCUAUACAGUUAUAAUCAACAUUAUCGAUUCCUUACCUUGUUUACAUUACUGUCCUCGCGGACAGGUUCCAGUUGUAUAAAUGUUUUUCAUCAAGAAACGAAUGGGUCGAGCUUAGAUCUAAAAUAUCAAAGAAAAUGUGCUACCACGAGAUUUCCACUCAAAAUAACGAAAAUAAAAACGUUUUUGUACCCAGAAAACAAGAUUCAUGCAACUAAUUCAUCAUGAAGUAUCACGUGCGGUUUUGAAGUGUUAAAGUUUAUUUCUUUUCUGAUGAAUGUUUUUUGCGCUUUCAAAAAUUAAUGAUUUUAUAGUCCAGCAAAGGGCAUGUAUUUGCCGAUAAAAGCUAAAAGUAAAGAGACAUGGUUUAGAUAACGAGUAAUAAAUACAUUUUACGAUGAAAAAGUUCUCAUUCGUGGGUGGUUUUGAGUGACUUUUGCCUGCUUGAAACGUAAACAGGGUAAGAGGUUUAUUGUGCAUGGAAUGGUCCUCUUACACAAUAUAAAAAAUUAUGGCGUUAUUAAGUCUUAUAACAUUCUCAAAGCAACACUGAAAAAGAACUGUCUUCCUUCAUAUAUUAAAUAAAAUAACAUUCUUGCCACAUUAGAAGACAAUGACUGUAAGUUAGAAAGAAUUAUGUUACACAGUUGUUCAUAUAGUACAUUUGGGUAGUUAGUAAAAUAAAGUAAAUAAAUGAAACAAAAGGAUGUAGAAAAAAGCCCCAAUUUUGACAAUGAGGUUUUUCUGAUUAUCAAUACAUCAUGGAAAAGUUAAAAACAUGCAAUUUAAUCGAAUCCAAUAAGCCAGUUCGACAUUUUGAUUGUGUAUCCAAAUGACGUGUUCUGAGUUGGGAAUAAAUGAACACAUAAAAUCUAGCUGAGACUAGACUUUUCUUUUCUUUUUUAAUAUUCAAUGACUAAUAUUCUACAUAAAAGAAAGAAUGAAACUGUAUAUUUAAUUCAUUUCCUAUUAUAAACUUUAUUGACUGUUUUUCUGUCUAAAGCCAAAAAAUGAAAGUGUUCUUUCGGGAAUAUUUUUGUAACAGUGAAGCAAGUCAAUCGUCUAAAAACUUUUUCUUUUUCUAAAAAAAAUAUUUCCGUAAUUAAAACAUCAAAACUUAAUCUGGAACUGUUUGUGUCACUGAAGGUAGCGACGAUAACAAGACAACUGUGGAUUGAGGGGGAUAUAACUACCUGAAAAAUACAAGCAGAACUUCGAUGUUAUAUCCUUUUGUAUCCUUCUCAAUCCACAGCUUCUCAUUAAAGCUUAAGCCUGUUUUUCACUUCACCAUAUCGUAACGUACUGUAGAGCAUUUUCUUUUCUGUUGAACUUAUUAGUUACUCAGAAUAACAAAAAUAUACAGCUACGCUUUAGUACGAUAUACGGUUAAAGUGAAAAACAUAAUUUAGUUUUAAAAUAUUUACCCGACUCAGUUGGAUGCGCAGUAUUGUUAUGCCAAACUGGCUUAUUGGAAUUUAGUAAAAAAUAUUGUAAUUGUUGCUUUGCCAGUUUGGGCAAAGCUUCAACGCGAAGUUCGAAGAUGCUUUCAAGACUGGGAUAAACAUAUGGACUUAAAAACAUUGUGCUAUAAAACCACAAGAAAUAUUAUGACCGUCUCGAAAUUAGACUGUGAGUGAUUUACUUGGACAAAAGCUGCAAUGUUGUCAUCGUUGAAAGUUAGUAUACGUUGGCUUUUACGAGCCGUUGCUGUAUAUGUUACCAUUUCAUCAUUUGUGAGAUUAAUACGCGGUAUAUGUUUUUUGGUGAUUCAUGCAGCUGGAUUUGAAAAUUUCUGAUCAUAAUCAUGCAACUGAUAUACUGGAAUAAUAAUGGUAAUGGUGUCUUCCACAAGCUUGUUGUAGUUUGUUUGUGUGAAAGUAAUAGUGAACAAUGAAUAUGGUUACUUGAAUACGUCGUACUGUAAAGUCAAAAAGAAAUUGAUGAGCAGGUCGAAAGAUCGUGAGCACUAUUCGUGAGUCGUUUAGAUAAAAGCGUGUAGUGUUGACAUCACUUUACGAACAGUUCCUGUAUCGUGUCAUUAUACAACGGAUAUGGUAAUGACGUGCGUGAGAUAUAUUUGUUGAAUGAUAUGCAAAAUAAUGGAUUUUAAAGCUUAUGAUGACAAUGUGACUUAUAUACGUGAAUAAUGGAGUUGAUUUUCUGUGAAAAAUGAUUAUUUAUGAAAGCCAAACAAUAUACAAGAUUACUUAAAAACAUUGUGCUGUAAAGCCACAAGAAAUACCUGCGCUAAGACACUAUCGUCUCGAAAGAUCCUGUUGUCAUUGUUGAAAUUGUUCGCGUUUUACGAAUCGUUCCUGCAUCUUUCGGUUGCAUAUACCAACUUUGAUGCGUCAAUGUAGAUACAUUGGUACGUGUAGCAUAAUGCGUGACAUAUAUUUGUUGAAGAUUCGAUUGGAUAAUUAACGUCAACAACGUGCAUGACAUGCGAGCGAGGAAUGGUAAUGCUUACUUUCCACAAGCUAUGGUACUUGGUAUGAUUUUUGAACAUUGCGGUGCAUCAUUUGUUGAACAUUUGAAGUUUUGAACACAAACAAUAAGCAAUAUGUUAACUAUGAAAGUAAAGUCAUUCAUAUCGAAGAAUAAAAACGAAAGUGGUGUUGUUGAAUGAAAGGAGCAGUAAUGAGCGGUCGGUUCCGAAAUUAUGGUAAAAGACGUUAAGACUUUGAAACAGAUUUCGCGCUUGAGAACAUCCAGAGGCGUGGCACCUAGGAACGGUUUGAACUAUAUUAUUUGACUUGGUCUCACUUAGGAUCGCAAGACUACGGAUUUGGUGUUCCUGUAUGUAAGCCAGUGAACUGUUACAUUAUGUUGACAUUUACAGAUAUUAAUGCUUACGAGUAUAAGCAUUCCAUAAUUCUUGGCAGGAGUAAAUAUUUGGGAAGAACGUUUUUUCGAAGUAUAACGCUCACAAGUCAUGGUGUGGUUAAAUUUAGGAACACGUACACAACCUGUAGACUAUAUCGAACUAUGUAUACUGCGUAUUUCAUACAAUUUAGAAAACAAAGAAGAACAACGAAGACUGAACAAUAAUGACCUUUAGAUACUUAGAAUUAUUUCUAGUAUAAUAUUGCUUGUAGAUUAGAAUAAUUAUCGGUUGUGAAUAUUUUUCAAGAAUGGUUAAUAA